CUCAAGAAUAAUCCCUUCUGCGUAACGCCUACUUUGAAGGCUACAAUGGAUCCUAUUAUAACAAAGCCUUGGAGUUUUCUAGGGACCUGGUUCCAAAAUGAUUAUCAUACUCCAUUUGCUACUGCAUAUGGGAAGACAUUGUGGGGCUAUUUUACCCAUGACCCUCAGCUAAAAGAUUUGAUAAAUGAUGGCUUAGCUAGUGAUUCUCAAUUGGUUACUAGUGUUCUAGUUGACAAGUGUAAAGGGGCAUUUGAGGGAUUGAACUCCCUCGUAGAUGUUGGGGGUGGCACAGGAACUACGGCCAAGGCCAUUGCUGAUACAUUUCCACUCAUGGAGUGCACUGUGUUUGAUCUUCCUAAUAUUGUUGCUGGCUUGCAAGGGAGUAAGAACUUGAAAUAUGUUGGAGGCAACAUGUUUGAGGCAUUUCCAACAGGAGACGCAAUUUUAUUAAAGGUUAAGCUUUACUAAAUUUAUUCGCAUUAUUUUUUUCUGGUAUUUUUACUUUUAUAAAUAAUGCACAACAAAUUCCAUUACACAUGAUAAUAUUCAAAGAUUUGAAGGCAAAGGUAAUCAUAGUUUGUGGGUUGGCUAAUGUUUUAUGUUUUUUGAGCUAAUUAUGAAUGAUAAUUGAACAGAAGGUAUUGCACGAUUGGAAUGAUGAAGGAUGCUUGACAAUUUUGAAGCGAUGUAAAGAGGCCAUUUCAAGCCAAGACACGGUAGGAAGAAAGUUGAUCAUAAUUGACAUGGUUGCGAGGGAGAAUAAGCAAGUGAAUGAUGAAGCCUCAAGCUUAACUAAAACACAACUCUUUUUCGACAUGUUGAUGUUGGUAUUGGUGGCUGGAAAAGAGAGGCGGGAAGAAGAAUGGGCUAAACUAUUUUUAGCAGCUGGUUUUAGUUCUUUCAAAAUUACUCCUAUUGUGGGUUUGACAUCUCUCAUUGAGGUUUACCCCUGAGAGCAUUUGGUUAUUGCAUUAUGAGUAUAAUAAGAAUUGCUCUUUGUUGACAUCAUUUACUAGAGUUGUUUGCUGGGAUUUUAACUUUGUUGCCUAUUCCUAUAAUAAGAAUUGUUGUCGUUUUGUUGUCAUGGUCCUACUCUUAUAGACUUGUCUUGUUGUUAUAACUCUUAAGGUUUAUACUUGGUUGUUUUGUCCGUAAUUUGUUUUACUUCAGUCCAUGCACAUAUAAUUCUAAUUUUAAUAGUUUGGUGGUCUUGUUGUUGAUUGUUGAUCAGAUUAGCGCAACGGAAACAUGAUAUUAGAUUUUUAUUAAAUAUUCCAUGAUUAAUUGUGUGGUGUGAUUGGUCGGUUACUGUGUUUGUGGUGGUUUGAAAUGGAUUGUCAGUUUGGUGACUAAUGUGACGUUCCAAGUUCGGGUCAGACCGUUCCUGCCGAUUUUUUCACGGAUGAAUACUUAUGCAGAACUGGGCACCAUUAAAUUCAUACUCAGACAUUGUAACACCCCUCACCCAGCCCGGCCUCUAGACCUGAGUUACAUGACACUACAACAUUAUUGUAACUUUACCACUUGCACACACAGCUUCAAGCAAGAACAAUUUUUAUUUGUUGAAGCAUUUUCAGAGGUGAUUGCGACUAGACAAACAUUAUACGACAUUCGAAAUAGUUUAAAUACAUGCUUAGGGACCAUAUUGAAAAUUUCCAAAAAAAAUAAUGUAGGUAUUGAUACACAAUAGUAGGUAUCAAUAUUUUGGGAAGCCAGGUAUCGAUACUAAUAAGAAAAUUAAUACCAUUCCAACAUUCUGUUUUUUCAACUCAAUUUUGAAUCAAAAUGUUUUAUCUUUAUAUAAACAAAGGUGCCAGUAUUUUUACCUCGACUAUCGAUACUUGUAAAAAAGUAUCGAUACCAAAUUCAGUUACUGUUUUCCUACACAUACAUUUUAAGAUCAAGGUAUUGAUAUUUAUGCCCCGAGUAUCGAUACCCCUAUGCAAAUCAACCAAAUCACAACCACAAUAGAGAAGUAUUCAUGCUAAAACAAAAUAUCUUCCUCACACGCAUUACCCACCACAAUCUCACACAUCGGAAUACCCAGAAAUGAAGUCCAAAACCGUAAAAGAAUGAAUAAAACUAUAAUAGUAAACAACAGAAGUUCUAGAAGUCCAAAAUCACAAUAAACUAACAAAUCAAUAAUAAUAACUAGCCAAGAUUCUACCCAUAUUGCUUUUAUUCCAAAAGUCCAUAAGAAUAAUAUAAUCACCUAAUGAACAAGGAUUUAGUAAGGGUGUAAGCUUAAACAAGCUCAAUGAAUGUAUCAGAAUUUACCACAAGCAUGCAUUUCUGUAACACCCUAUACCUAGCUUGGUGACCAAGCCCAAAUAUGUAAAAGUUUAUUCUAAAUGAAGCGUCUUCCAUUUUAGUAUUCGUAUAGGUUUUAAGUCAAUUAACUUGUUCGUUAUCAAUGUUACAUGCUAACCAUACACCAAAUAGCCUUAUAAUAAUAAUUAAACAUGCAUAAGGUCCAUUUAACAAAAUUUCCAAAACUUGUUCAUAGGUAUCGAUACUAACACUUGGGUAUCGACAUUUUCUUUAGGUGGUAUCGAUGCCAUUUGGAAAAAUGAUACCAAACUUGCAUUUUGUUUCUCGAAUAAAAUCCCAAAGUCUCAAAAAUUAUCGGUACUUGUCAUGAAAUUUCGAUAUUUUGAUCCUGAGUAUCAAUACUAGAGCAAAGGUAUCGAUACUAACUCUCUAAUCUAACUUCCUACAUGUUUCAAAUCAUAGAGGUAUUGAUUUUUAAUCUAGACUAUCAAUACCCCUGCUCUAGACCUAAAAAAUGUAGCAUACAUAUGCAAAAAAUGUAGCAUACCCAAAAAUCGGGGGUUAGUAGAAUCAGGUUUAUGAAUCGAGAGAGAGUGGUCAUGCCUUAACUUUUGAGAUUAUCUAUGUAUUUUUUUAGGAAAUAAAUGAGGUAUUGGUUUAUUGGAUAAGUGUUAGUGAAACCUUCCUUGAAACCCAAGUUCAAAUCCCUUCUCUUUCACUUUUUUUUAUUAUUUUGCAAAUUUUCUCUUAAACCCUAGUAUGUGACAUGCCUUUUUUUUCAAAUAAACAUUGCAAAGUUAUUUCAAGAAUGAAGAAGAAGCCUAAUGGUUAAAAGAAAUAUAAGAAAGCAUGGAAAUUAUAUGAGGUCUCAAGUUUGAAUCCCUUCCCUUACGAAAUAUUUAAUUUUUGGCAAAAAUCCCUUGUUUUUAAUGUGUGUGCCACCCAAGCCUUGUAACCCUAGGUAUAAAUUUUAAUUUUUAGAAAUAAUCAGCCUUUAAUCCCCCUCCUCAUUUCCCUCGUCGUUCAUCUCCUCCUCUCCCUUUCAUUGAUUUUAUUUUUUUCCUUUCCUCCAUUAAUGUCGUCACCUACACCUUACAUUUUAUCAUCUCUUUCUUUUUCUUUUUGCGUCAAGAUUGGGCACCGUCUUCUUUAUUAAAUUGCUUCCAUUUAUCCUCAUCUAAAUCAGCCCAAAAUCUAAAAUCUUAAACCCUAAGAAUGAUCCCGAAUAUUUCUAAGAAAGUGUCAUUGCCGUUUCUUUCAACUAGCUUAGGUAAGAUCUCUUUUCUCUUCAAUUUCUUGAUUAAUAUUGUCAAUUAAAAAACCAAAUUUACAGAUUUAGAAUUUAGGGGAUUUUAAAUUCUUUUAAAGGUAUUUUUCUAUAUUUUAAUGAGAUCUCAAACCGUUUUAAAAUUCAGCCCCAAUUUUGGCCACCAUAAGUGGUGGUGCGUCCACCUAUGUGCAAGAAAGGGGGCUGUUUUGUUUCUUGGGUCUUGCCCAUAUUUUUCCAGCAUUAAAUUGUGUUCUUCAAACCUCCUAAUUAGCCUUUAAUCACAUGCUUAUUAUGGAGAGACGUUCUUGAUGAAUUAGCCAAUCGGAUCCCACAAAUCAUGAAGUGUAAGGGCAAUUAAGGAUAACUAGUUUGUUAUUUCGACAUAGUUGUUGGGUAAAGGUUAUGAAUUGAUUAAAUGAAGGAAUUUAAUCAUCAAUUAUCUAAUUGUUUUCCAGUAUAUUAUUGAAUUAGGUGCUGACCAAAAAUCCCCAAAUCAUUCCUAAAGCCGAAGAACGAUUGUACGUACAGUUCGCAUCGCUACAGUGUAAGGAAUCUAACUAGUUCAGAUCCAUAAAAUAGUUAUAAUUUCAAUGAUUGGUUUGAACUCAUAAGUGGGUGUUUUUGGUAUGGUUUAAUGGUAAAUUUAUUGAAUUUAUACUGAAUUUCAGUUUAGGUUCGUUUAAGGAAUUAUUAAGGAAAAUCGAAAGAUUCGCUAGUGUGCUGCGAGAAAGCGAAAAAUAAGGUGUGGGUCCUAAAAUCAUAAAAUUUUUUGAAAAUGUUAAAUAUCAAGUUAUAUUUGAUAAAUUAGCUUGCUUAUUGGAUUGGAUUAAUAGCCAAAUUAUUAAUUUUUUGAGUGGCCGAACCAGGUAUGUCUUGAGCAUUAAAAGAUUAAUAUGUUGGCAAAAUUGCUAGUUUGAUAGUAUGAAUAUUUGAUUGAGUUUGUAAUUGCAUAUUUGAGUUAUGAGAUAUGAGAAUGUUUGACUGAAUGAUAUAAUGUGUUGAGAUUUUAAGCUUAUUUAUGAUUUAAAUGCAUGAGAUAUUUGUUAUAUUGUGUACUAAAAUCGGUGGUAUUCAUGCACAAUGAAAAUUCGUAAAGUAUGUGAAAUUGAACGAUAUUGAUUGAUACCAACGCAAUGGUAAUUUGAAUGAAUAGAACACUGUUUCCAUUUAUUGAAAGUAUGUGAUUAUUGAGGACAUGUUGAGCAUGUCAAAUGAAUGGGAAAAGUAAUGAGAUAUGAUUGCGUGUGAGACUGUGUAACAUUGCAUAUGCAUUAGGUUGGGAUUUUGCUGUUGACAAAGGAGUUCCGUGGAGUACCGCCGACAUAUUAAGUCCGCAUGAUUCGUAGUCAGUCCAUUGUACCUGGAGUACCGAAAGGAAUGGCAAUUUAUCACAUUUUUACUGGCAACUUGUCUGCAUUUUUACUGGAAGAAUUUUCUACAUAUUAUUAUUGGUAGUUUUAACCAAAAUGUUUUGGAGUUUAGAUGGCGGGUUCUGGAGAACUCGUGGGGUGUAGCUGAUGGUAUGGGUAGGAACCUUUUUGCAUUGCAUCAUGUGCACGACAUAUUCGAGUGUUAUUGAUUUAUGCUACGUAUUGUAUUUUGUUGUAUUGAAAGGUAUUGUAAUUAAUGAUUGUUACUCGAAUGAAUGAUAACCUAUGCUCAUACACCGUUUGACAUCAAUUUGAUAAUGGCUAUGUAAUGAUAUGAAAUUCCUAUGAUGGUUUUGUUUUCUUCUCUUAGAGCUAACCUAUUUCACUCUAUUUGAUAUUUAUAUUUGUUUAAAUAAUUGUUCGACUCACACUAAGCUUUUCAUAAGCUCACCCCCAAUAUAGCCUAGCCAUUUCAGUGGCUAAUAUAGUUUAGCCAUUUUGGUGGCUAAUGUAGCCUUCUCAAUCUACCCAUAAUGUCUAGGCCAAGUUUGGGAACAAUCCAUUUCAAUUUAGUUUCUAAACAUCAUUAUUCUAAAACAUAGACAAUUAAUUAUCCAACAACUAAAUUCAACAGUUCAAAAAACGUGUCCGAGCUAGAAGUACCAUGCCAUCAUCGAUGUUUAUAAACCUAAGCAUAACCAUAACUCUUAAACCUUAUAAACAAAAGCAAUAACCAACAAAAUAUUUAGAAAUUAACAUGUCAAUGACCAAGACUACCACAUUUCCCUUUCCCGAAAACGUAAUUAAAUAAAGAACACCUACAAAAUAACACAAAACUGGCUCGGUUCACCUUUUGAAAACCACACCAUUCACGCUAGCACACAACUAAUCUGCAAUGGGUAAAGAAGGGAGUGACUGAGAUUAACAAACUCAAUGAAUGACUAGAAUAACCACAUCGCACACAUAUCAUUAUGCAUCCUCAAGACAACCAUAUAUAAGCACAAUUACAAUAGUCCUAUAUCUAGUGUAGUAGAGUACCUAUCCAUGCAUUAUCAACUGGUUCAUCUACACAAUAUUUACAUACUCAUACAACAUAUAUCAUGUAACGCACAUAUUUAGUCAAGCGUAUAUCACAAUUCACACAAGUCACAUAUAACGAAAAGUUAGCAAUAUAGCACAUACUCCAUUAAGCAUAAAACAUGUUCCAUACAAUUACAUAUAAUAUGAUAGAUUGACACUUGAGUUACAAAAGAUAUAAUGAGCUCUAUCAUCAUAGAUUGGAUAGACGGAUCUCUGAUCACACCAAAUGACUCGUAGAGUCAGACAUGUCCCAAAAGUGAAGCAUAUAACUAGCACUCUCCUUGUUUCCCCCCACAUGUCCCGUUGCAUAGACCUUAACUCACAUCCCCUUAUCCCUCGAAACAUGUCACAGGGCCUCAACGCUUAAAAUCACUAUACAUAUAAGUGAGUACUCACAAUCUUAUGGCAUGCCAACCAUAUCCAAUUGUAACAGUCUGUUUUCAGUGGUGUCGAAAAUAGUCAUUUCGAGACAAUAAUUUUGAUGAGUGAUUUAUUUAUUUUAAUAUUUAUUUAAUGUCUACAGGAUUAUAUUAAGGUCAUAUUAAUAUUUCGUUAAGAAAUUUUGUUGUUUAAGUAGUUAAUUAAGUAAAAAGGACUAAAUCGUGAAAGUUGUAAAAGUUUAUUUCUAUUAGUUAAAAGGGUCAAAUGGCUAUGAAAUUUUAAAAUAAUGGACUAAGAUAGUAAUUAUAUCAUUUAAUGAGUUAGUGUAUGUAUAUGGACAAGGUUUUAUUAAAAAUUUGUAUUAUUAUUAAGCGUAAAAAGGUAAAUUAGUAAACAAACUUAAAAUAAACUAAGAAAAAGAUAUCAUCUUCCCCAUUUCUUUUUUGCUUUGGCUGAAUACACCAUUGAAGGGGGGAGAGCUUCGGUUUUGAAUUCUUCAUUUCAUGGUAUGAUUUUGUACCCGAUUUUUAUUAAUUUUUAUGUUUUUGAGUUCAUUUUAGCUUAAUCUAGCUAGCCUGGGGGUUAAUUUGCAAAAAUGUUAAAGGUUGAAGGACUUUCCAUGGAUGUUUUUAAAUAGGUUUUGAAGUUAUUUGAUAGAUUAUUCAUUUUGGUUGUGAAAUAAACAUGUUUUGUUAAGUGAUUUUUGGUGAAAUUGCAAUUAGGGAUUAAAUUGUUAAAGUGUAAAUCUAUGGGCUUUAUUGGAAAUUGUUAAAUAUGAACCAUGGAAUAAAUUGAAUACUAGAAGUACUUAAUUGAAUAAAAUUUUUAUUUAUAUCAAGAUAAACCACAAUCGGACGUAAAUCGAGAAAAAGCUGAAGAUUCGCAUUAGUUCGACUCUACUACUAUGACCAUAGUUAUCGAGGUAAGUUCGUAUGAACUAUAAUCGUUUUAAUGUUAGCUAAAUUGAUUAUAUGCUAUGUUGUUUUAAUAUAAAUGAAUUUGAAUAUAAGUGUAUCAAUGCUAUGAUGAAUUGACGGAUAACGAGUCACGUUUGAACCUUAAGAAUUCUUAGGAUACAAAUGACAUGUCAUUUGGGAUUUGAUGUUUCGAGUGCUAGUCUUGAAUGUCCUACUGAUGACUAAGGUCUUGCAUUUGUUGUAGAUUCUCCAUAGCUCAUGUGAGCAGCAUCGUGUAGCUUACAGUCUAACCCUUAGCUCGUGUGAGCAGGCCAAUUUCACGGCUCGUAUGAGUAUUGAUGUAAAGGAAAGUUUAUGGUUAUAUGGAAAAACACACUAUGUGUGAGCAUUCUUGGGUAUCCGAUGUAAUUCUAGAUGGUUCAACAGGUAAAAAAAGGAAAUGAAAUGGUAAGUAUGCAAAUGGAAUAAAUCAUGAUCUUAUGAAAAGGUUGAUGAAUUAAAUGAUGUAUUUGUAUAUGGAAAUCAACUUAUCUUAUGGUUGAAUUCAUUUGUAUCACGGAUAAGUGCACUAACUUGUGAGUUUGAUGAUGUUGUAUAGGCUUAUACUAAGCUUAUGGCAUUGGUAAUGAUUUAUGCUUAAUCUAUGAAUUGUAUUAAUGAAAUGGUAAGUUAUGUUUAAGUUUAUACGAUCUUACUAAGCACUCGUUGCUUACGUAGUUAUUUUCCUUUCUUUUAUAGAUAUUCGGAAACUUAAUUGAUUGGAAGCUCGUCGGAGACCUAUCACACUAUCCAGCAACCAUUUCGGUAGUUUUUGAGUAUUUUGGCCAAGGUUAAAAAUGGCACGUAUAGGAUCUUUUGUGAUGGUAGUCUGUGAAUGUGUUAAUGAUGAUUUGGUUUGUUUAUGCUUUGAAGUUUAUGUUUGGUUUGGUGAACCUUAACACCUCACUGAGUUAUGUCAUUUUGGUCACUUUUAAGUGCUUGUAUAUGAGGUCAUUUUGGUAUGUUUGUGAUGACUUGUAAAUGGUCAUUGUGGUAUCAUGAGGUAGAUAAUUGAACUAGGUUUUUAUGCUUGAAAUAUGACAAUGUUGACUUAUUUUGGUAAAUGAUGUUUUGGUAUAAUUGUGGUGCCUUUGAAUGACAUAUUGGUUAGAUGAAUUAAGGUGUUUGAAAUGGCAUGUUUAUAUGUGUUUGAAUGAUGUUUAAAUCCCUUGAUUAUGUGUCCAAUUGGUAUGAAUGGUUAGGUAUGAAUUGGACUUAAAAUGGUUUGAUUUUAGGUUAAUUAUGAAAAUUCUUAGUGUUUCAAUUCAGUGAGUUACACGGCCUGGCACACGACUGUGUGUGGCAACUCAGAGAGUUACACAGCUUGCGACACGGCCGUGUGACCCUACUUAGUGAGUUACAUGGGUGAGGACACAAGAUGGGACACGGCCGUGUGCCCCUUUGUUCGAUUGUUACACAACCUAUCACACGACCGAUUGACCCCCAUUUUUUCCAAUUGUUUCAACUUUUUCUUAAAAAUUCUGUUUUGUUUCAAUUUAGUCUCGAAUUACUUUUAAGCUAUUUUUAGUGCCUCGAAAGAUCGAUUUAGGGACAAAAUUCAUAUGAUUGAUUGGUUUAUAAUAAGUUUAAUUUCUUUAAUGUUAUGAUGAUAAAUGUUUUUCGAUUGACUGGUAAUGCUCUGUAAUGCUAAUUCGGUGACGGGUACGAGUUAGGGGUGUUACAACAAUGGUUUCAAAAUCACAAGGCCAAAAUAUCCGAAAUCAAACACAUAACACUGAUCGAUUAUCUGUGCACUAUCACUACAUGUUAGCAUCUUUUAGAAAAUACUAUCACUUUCAUAUAAUGUGUAUAUCAUGUAUACAUUUGCACUUUUCACAACAAAUACCAUAUCCACAUAUCACAUACUUGAGCUUCUCAACACCAUGCACAAUUUCAUAAUCAUAUAAGCACAAAUCCAUAAAAAAAAUAUAGAUACAAGAAAAUUUACGCUCAGAAUUUAGAAUAGGGGUACAGGCUACUACUAAAUUCUCCAAUAACACCUGACUCGUGUUUGCGAGCAGUGAUUCCAAACACUCACCCCUAUGCUUUCACCGAGAAGUCAAAAGCUCAACUAGCUCUUCCUUUAACCUGUAGAAGGCUCCAAUGAAUCCGAGGCUUAACACACAAUAACCAUACAAAAUUCACAACCAGAUUGUAGCCAAGGACUCACUUAAACCAACUAAAACAUCAACCUAUUCUAAGUUCUCGUGUAACCAAAAUUUAACAUAAAAAAACUUAGAAUGCUCAUAACUCGGUCUACACUUAACCUUUUUGCCUAAAAUGAAUUAUGUUCAUCUAAUUAGUCAUCUACUCCAAAUCCUUAACUCUUAAACCACUAAAAACUACUCAAUUCAUGGUAUCAUAACUUUUAGACAUUUUUUUGGCAAUUUUCACAAAAUUCAUUAAAAAGUAAGAAAUCAUCAACGAAACUUGAAAGUGAGUUUAAAAACCUUCUAAUCAUGAUAAAAUGAGUUGAAAAACACUUCAAAACCACAUUUUUACUCAAAACUCAAAAAUCCACCAUUAAUGUCCCAAAUUUUGGGUUUUAUUAAAAAUUUGCAGUUUAAUGGCUAAUACUUCAAUUUUAAAGACUAGAUAUCAUGAAAAACUCAUAAGAAUUCGAAACAUUAUCUUUGAUGGAUGAAAAUCAAACUUUUGACGCAAACUUAAGAAAACCCACGUUUGGAGAAGAUGAUGAAAUCUACAGAGUUUUUGGUGUUUUUUAAGUGAUUUUAUAAGUGUUUAAGGCUUGGGUGUUGAGGGAAAUCAAAAGCUUAUAGUUUGGAAAUCAAAAUCAAGUGGUUUAGUGUUGGAAGAGCAAGGGACGACAACAAGGGAAAGGUGAAGAAGAAACUAACAUGAUUUUACUAUUGGGGAAGGAAAUAGGCUGAAAUUUUAAAAUCUGUGCUAAUUGCCUCUUAAAAACUCCCAGCUUUUCCCUUUUUUUCAAAUCAGUCCCUUGGUCCAAAUUGAAAGACUUUUAAAACUUAUUUUCAAAAAUUUAUUUAGCAGCUAAGAUGCCAUAGUUGAAUAUAAUUCUGAUUUACCACGCUAUGAAAUUUCGAGCACUCUAAGGUUGAAAUCCCUAAAACACCCCUAAAACUCCUAGGCCCUAUUUUGGGGUGUUACAAUUUCAACAUAGGUUAGAUCAUGAACAUUUUCAAAAACAUUCAUAACAAUAUAUUUACUAUAACCAUGUUUCAUUCACUAAAUCAAACUAUCUACUAUUUCUCAUAAACCUACAUACAACAUAUAUAUAAACAUAAAAUCAUUCACGAUAAGUUGGCCAUUUAAGACUAUGAAACCUAAAAGUGGGCUCUACCACCACACAUCAGAUACAUGAAUCUCCAAUGAAUUAUCGACUCAAAGAGUCCAAAAUAUUCCAUAAGUGAAGCAUCAAGCUAUCACUCUCCAACACACCAACAUAUCCUGGUAAAUGGAGCUUAGCUCAUAUGCCCUUAUUUCUCCAAUCCAUCCUGGGCCUCAAUGCCCCAAAUCACAACACAAGGAUGAGCACUCACAAAUUCUUUGUUAUUGAUCAACAAAUAUGCAACAUUAUCGCUAUCACAUAGUAUGCUUAUCAUACUCACAAUUGAUGUACUUACAAGUACAACCACAAUGCUUCAUGAGCCACAAUAUCAUUAGAUCACAUAACACAUACUAAAAUAAUUCACAUAUUACUUACGCUUUUGUUAUAUCAAUUAUCACAACUCACUACACGUAUUCAUCACAAUUAUAAAAAGAAACAAAUGGGAUAAGAAGGCUUACUUUUGAAACUUAUGAUAGGGGUUUAGGCUACUCCUAAGCUCUCGUUUAACACUAUGAAUCAUGCCUACAAGCAGUGAUUCCAAAACACUCAUCGUUCACAUUUUCACUUGAAAAUCGCAAGCUCAAACUAGUUUUUUCUCACCUUUCGCCUUACUCGAAGAGGGCCCCAACAGUUCCAAAGCUUCACAUAUAUAACCACACAACAUAUACAAGCAAUUAGUAGCCAAAACACAUCUUAAAUCAAACAAAAAUGCAGGUCCAAAACUAGCCUUUUUAAAAAAUGGAAUUUUCUACUAGAUUGGCUAAAACUCAAAUAGGGUUUGUCCUAUUUUGGUUACUCUAAAUUUUUUUCUCAAUUUAGCCACUCUAAAUACAAUAAUUGUGCGACUUAGUUACUAACUGCCUCUCGAUGUACCAACACUAGAGGUGUGAAUACUACUACUAAGGAUAGGAAUCAAGGCAGUGUCCACAAGUAUAUGGGUCAAGUUGUAAUAUAGUUUACAACGAAGUAUGGAAGUAUCCGAGGAUCGUAACCUAGGGAGGUGAAACUAAACUAAUAUUAAUUUCUACGUUGAUGGGUCUAGUUAGUAAUUAAAUUAUAUUAUAUUACAAUAUAUCCUAAGGUGAUGAGAAAAUUUCUUUUAUACAAAUAAGAUAAUUAAGAAUGGGAAUAGAGUACAGAUUCUAUCAAUUCUAAUGAUGGAAGACUAACUCGUUUCAGUGUUCAUAAUUAGCUUCUACUUAGGGUUCUACUCAAGGCCUCUCUGCCUACCACUAACCUAAUGAGUUGGCAAAAACUACUUAUCUCUCAAUGCUACAGUCCAGACUGAAUGGGGUUAAGGUUUUAAUGAAUAGAUAAUACUAAUUUUGGGUUUAUUCCCACCUAUAUGACUUCUUAGAGUCAUCAAGCCUAGGGUUUUAAGUUCUUUCUAUCCCCGACUAGCUGAUUUGCUAAGAAUCUCUAAAUAGAAGUUAAUGAGUCCCACAUCCACUCGUUAAUCUUCCUUACUGGAUUAGUUCCCCAUGGAUUUAACACAUGCAAAUAAAUUGAUAGUAAAAUAUAAACAUUAUAAAAGAAAUCAAGAGUAGAGAUGAGAAAAAUCCUGAUAAUUCAAUAACAGAAGCACGAACUAAUGAAAAACUUAAUGAAAAACUAAACUGAAUACAAAGCAAAAUAAAAACUAUUCAUGAAGUGUUUAGAUUAGAGGUGAUCAUGGCCGCCCGGCCCGAUGGCCUGCCCGAAAUAUGAAAGGGUUCUUGUAAAAAUAUAGGCCUGAAAUAUAGGUUUGGGCAAAAAAAUAAGCCCGUUUAGAAAACGAGCAGGGCCUCGGGCAAAAAUAUAUAUAUUUUUAAAAAUAAAUUUCUCAUUUCCCCUCCCUAUUUCCCAUUUCCUUAAGCCCGUAAAAAUCGCUAAGCCCUUCCUUCCUCCUUUUUUUUUUUUAUUUUAAAAUUUUUUAUUUUUAUAUUUCAAAUUUUAAAAUUGAAUUUUAAUUAUUAGUAUUGUUAAAUUUGUUGAUAUGAUAUUUCACGGGAAGGGUUCUACUCUAAAAUAAAAAUAAAAAUUCUUUUUUUUAACUCUUUAUAAUUUAUAAAAUUUUAAAAUAGUAAUGGUAAAAUUACACUUUGCCCCUCAAAUGAUAAAAAACGUUAAUUUAAUCUUUUAAAAAUUAUAAAAAUGGUAAAAUUAUUUUUUCUAUCAUAAAAAAAGGGUCUAGCCGGGCUAGGCUCGGGCUUAGUAUUUUUUUCCUCAGGCCGGGCCUAGACAAAAUUUCAGGCCCAUAGCCUAGGAAGCGGGCUGAAUUUUUUUUGGGCCCGGCCCAUGAUCACCUAUAGUUUAGAUCCUUCUAUUUAUAGGCCUAGGGUUGGUCAUCAAUUGUUGACCUAAUUCGGCUGACGUUUUGCAUUGAAGUUUGUUGUGCAAACACCCUUGGUUAAUUAAUUCAUCAUGUCAUGUCGGUGUCGUGACACCCUCUGGUCUAUGUCGCGACACUAAUGGUAGUUUACUAGCUGGGGCUUGAUUUUAGGACUAUGUCGCGACACUCUCUUUCUACAUUGCAAAAGCUUACGAAAUUGAUGAAAAACUUGGUACUCCAAUUAAAGAACAUAUGCUUUUGCUUAUGAAGCUUUGCGUAAGUGAAGGACAAUGGGCUGGUUUAGAUCAUAACACUUAGACAAAUAUGGUGCUCAAAUAUCUAAUAUUAUUAUUUUUAUUAUAUUAUUAAAAAUUCCACGAGUCAACUAAGGGUAUUUUUUUAACAGUGAUAAUGGUAUGGGCCCAUAAUGGUUACCGGAUUUGACAAAAAAAAUGUAUCUAACUAAAAGAAUUGUUAUAGUUUGAGGGUUGUGUAUUGAACUAAGCUUUUUUUAUAGUAGUGAUAUAAAUAUCCUUUUCUUGUCUACCAUUUAAUUACGCCAUGAACAUCAGCAAAAAUGUCUGCGGUUGACUAACACCGUUGUUUGUUUUUGUUUUUUUUAAAUAAUUAGAGAUUUUAGCUUAGUAGGUGUAAGCAACAAUUAUUUGUCCAUUUAAUAUUAUAUUUUGGCGUGAUUAAAACGGAUCAUUUGUUAAUAUGAACGCAAAUGUGUCAUUAUCAUUAUUUGUCCAUUUAAUGUUAUAUUUUGGCGUGAUUAAACGGGAUCAUAUUAUUGAAUAUAUCCUAAUAAGUAAUCUAAUCUAGAUACUGAAAAUCUAAUAAUCUUCGUUAAUUAUAUUAUGGUAAAUUCUGCAUCAAUAUUCACCUUCUUUUCUCUUGUUAAUUUUAAAUUUCUUGAAUGAUAAGAAUUUUUAUUUGUGGAGUUCAUUAAUAAAUAUUUUUAUAUAAUUGAUGAAUAUUUUAUAUUUGAAAUUUAUUCAAUAUCAUUUAUUUAAUAUUUGUAAAUAUUUAUAUGUAUUAAAUUCUUUUUUAAAAUAUCAAUAAAUUUGAAAUGAUAUAUCGAAAUAGAUAGGUACCGUUAUGUGCCAGUUCUAGUAGAAAAAUGGUGUGCCCACCGGUGUUGUAAGCUCCCCGACCCGACCUAGAUGCUAGAUCGAAUCUAGAAGACAACAUCAGCCAUCGAGAUGGCUUACCAGGGUUAUCUAAGUUUAGAAAGCAACCAUUUUAAAACCUUCGUUUAAUUUAGUAGAAAAAUUCAAUUACAAACCGUUUUAUUAUUCCUCAAAAUCUUAAUUUUAAUUUACUAACAAAAGAAAUGAUAUCUAUUGGUUUUAAGGAAAACCGGGGGUUCAUGCAUACAAAUUAAUAAUUAUAGCAUAAUAUCUUAAAAUUUUAAAUAAAAUGUCAUGCAAAAUAAAAUCUCAAAUCUAAAGCCUAGGUUCCAUGCCAUAGUUCGAAAUAAAGUAGUACAAACUAUAAUAAUAGGAUAACCCAAAUAAUAAGUCUAAAUAAAUUGAAAUUUUGAACCCGAGCCGAGAUGCUCCGGUUGCCACGUCUGCGUUCCUAACCUUGUGGGUUAUCUUUAAGGAUGAAAAUUUAAGGGGGGGAGUGAGCUCUAAUGCUUAGUGUGAGUUCAAUCACAAGAAAAUUAGUGCAACAGUUAGUAAGAUACAUUAGAUAAUAUCGCAUAAAAUAUUCACAAUCAGAGAACAAUUCAAAGUAUCGAUUUUUCAAAGCAAAACCACCAUUAAUAUAUCAGAACUCACAAUAGUAGUUUUCAGAAUAACCAAAUUUUCAUAUUUACCCACAAUGAACAUAUAUAGACACAUAUAUAUAAUAAUAGAUUUUCCAGAUUUGUAUGCACAUGUGUUUAAAAUGCCAUGUAGUUUUGGUUUUUAACAAAAUAGAUCCUACCUCACCACUACACACUAUAAUGGGAGUUAACUAGAACUCCCUUCUCCAACACAAUGGGAUAUGGAUAAACCACUAUUGGUUCGCAGAUAAUAACUUCCAUUUGCCUGUGGACACAUAGAAAGUCCCCGUAGUUGGAAUCUGCCUAUAGUAGUGGGUUCACAGCAAAAAGUCCUACAGAUGAAACCUGCUUUUUGGCUAUAGUUUAUACAACAUAAACCUGCAGCUAGAAUCUGCCUUUGCCUAUGGAUACACAGCAAUACCCGUAGAUGGAAUUUGCCUUUGGUUGUGGAUGCACACAAAACAGAUGAAUGCAGAUAAACUGCCAAACUUCUUCAUAUCAAAUCAUCUAAACCCAAGCAAUGCAAUGCGGCAUAUUUAAUAUAGAUCAAGCAUGAUAGCAAUUAAUGUACUAAUACAUGACAAAUCAGUAGCAAAAUCAUGCAUUUCAUGUAUUCGGAUUAAUAGUAACAUAGGUCAUGUCGUUCAUACGAUCACAAGUAUAGAUACAGUAUUAACAUAUACUAUUCGUAAUUUAUGCAAAUAUACAUAUACAAAUAAACACCGCAUUAAUUUGAUCAAUCAUGGUUUCUAACAUAUUUCAUAUCCUCAAGGACCCGAUUGCAUAAUUUCAAACACUAAAAAUAGUUUAGAACUUAUUCAGGGAUUCAUCUGAUCAAAACAUAAAAUUCUGGGUCAAAACAGUAAAAUCUUAGUUACAGGGUACAGACGACUGUGUUAUCGGAUCAUGUCGGAAGCCUUGGGCCGUGUGGAUAGAAUGUACAACCGUGUGGCUAGGCCGUGUGGGUCAUGCAAAAUUAAGCUUAAGGGGUGACACGGUUGUGUGGGAGGCCAUGUAGAGGGUCCUAGGCCAUGGGAAAGUCGAACAUCCUAGGGUUUCAAGGGGGCAUGGCCGCGUAUGGGGGAUGUGUGGUCCACAGGCCCCUAUGGUUGGCCAUGUGGCUCUAUUCGUGGGUUAUGGAGAUUUUUUAGGUUUUGGAUAAUCGGCAAUUCAAGCCUUUCAUAGUUUUGCAACAUAAAUAAGUAGGUUUUAUAUGUUUUUUCACCAGGAUGCAAAUGAUUUACUUGUCAUUUGCUCCAAAUUGAAUUAAAAUUAGAAUUAUAUGUGCAUGGACUGAAGUAAAAUAAAUUACAAAAUCACCAAACCAUGAAAAACUUGAAUUGCCAAUUACCAAAAACCUAAAAACCUGCACACCCGACGUUGUUGGUGAACUUGGCAGCAACUUUCCCUCCCAGGCUUUUCUUUAUAAAAAUCAAACAGGUUUUUUCAGGCCACAUCACCAAAAAAAAAAUUGCUUCUAUAGUGGAUUUUUUGUUCUAUAUAAAUUUAAAAAUAUAUUUUUUAAAACUUCAUACAAGUGCCACCUAAUGAUUGGCAUAUGAUUGGGUGAGAUUUAAUAUGGUGUCUUCUAACAGUUUGGCGGCACCCAAUGACACAAUAAAAAACAUUCCAUUUUUGAAAAUAAUCUAGAUCCUAUAUCAUUUUCAUAAUUACUUUUUUUAUAUUAUUUUGAUAAAAAGUCUGAUUAUUUUGUGGAUCUAAAUGAGCUAUUCUAGCUAUCUUUUUGUCAUGCAGCUUUGACAAGAGAAAUAAAAAAGCCAUAACGUUCCCCAUUUUGAACCACCUCCGACCACAACAAACUAGAAAACACAACUACCUUGCCAUGAACAUAAUCACCCAAACAUAAACAUGAUAUAUAUUCCUUUUGUUCCCAUCUUUAUAAGAAAUUAGAACCUUUAAUAUUGUAACACCCUAUACCCAGUCCGGUCGCCGGACCCGAGCUAUAGAAUGUCACAUUAACCACAUAAGUGACUCUCCAUUUAAACACAACUUAACCUCCAACAAACCAUAAGUUAAAACAUAAAACAUGUUUACAUUUAAUAAAUCACAAGCUCAUGAACUCGCAUCGCUUGCUUCAUGGUACACAAUAGUAGUAACAUGCGAACCUACAUCGCUUGUAUGAACUUAACUACUCUUUCCCUGAAGACAUAAUUAUUUGAUGAAAGGAAUUAAGAACAUGCGAACUCUAAGUUUUGCGGAGCAAUAUACCUCGCAGAACACAGCAAUGCAACUGUCUAACGUCGGAGUUCGCACCCAUGCUUACCUCAUGCAUUCUAAGUCUUCUUUGGGGUAAGUUUCCUUAAAUAGGAUAGGUCUUUGCGUACCCUUAUGUGUUUAUAUUCUGCGAACAUGUUUAGCAGGGUCUCUCCUAAUUCCGUGUAGCAAAAUUUAUUAAGGGUUCGCAAGUACUAGUUUGCCAAUUGUUCGGGUUCACACUUUCCACAAUUCGAUAACCUUAUCACUUCGUAAAGACUGUGGCGAACUCUAUAUAGGUUACUCAAGUUGAUUUAUUACAUGUUUUGCUUAUGGCAAACACAGUUAAAGAUUAAAUACUUAAGCAUUUACUUGCAAAUUAAAAAAAUAUUAGUAAAUCUUUGAAGUAUAUUCGUAUACUUAAAAAUUUAGGUGUGCAUAUAUAGUUUUAUCGGUUUCUAAGAGAUAUUGAAUACAAAUAUAAAACAAAACUAAGACUUAGAGCAAUUGGUGAAGUCUAUAGAUAGAAAGAAAUCACUAAGCCUAAGCGAAAACCCACAUUUGCCUUUAUGUCCAGAGUUCGCUUAUAUCACAUUGCCAAUGUUUAUACUCUGUCUGGAUCACUCGCCGUCGCCGCUACACACUGUGCGAUCUAACUGUCUUCAAUGUUUAGAGAGGAAUGUGUAAACUCUUGUGAACUCAAUGAAUAUACAAGAAAACCACAUAGCAUGCACAAAAACAUAAGUUAAACAAGUGUUUAAACAAAGUUACGGAUCUAUGAACCGAGUUCACCAUAUUUACAUGAAGCUUGGUUCGCAGCUAUCUUCUGUUAGUUAGCUUAAAACAGUAAAACAUAAUAUUUUGAAAAACACAAUCUUAUUCACAUGUUCUUUUCUGUUGGAUAAGUGGAUCUCCUUAUAACUCCUCACUUUGACUCAAAGAGUCUUAAUAUGUCCCAUAAGUGUAGCAUAAAGCUUAGCACUCUCCAAACACACCAACAUAUCCCAUUGAAUGGAGCUUAGCUUGACAUUCCCUUAUUUCCCCUACCCUAUCCCAAGGCCUCUCGCCCAAAACGUAAAACACAAAGAUGAGUACUCACAUUCCUAUGGCAUGUCAUUAUAUCUAACGGUUUCAGAAGAUUAUAGUUUCAAUACAUUCACUUAAACAUAGAGCUCAGAAAUCAAGAGGAGCUCAUAGAACACUAUUCAUAAUUAGCUUGCAUAUUACUGUUCACAAAAACACAUAUUUAAACUCAAUCACAAAAUAGAGUUUUAGCAAAGACUUACUCUCAAAACUUAGGAUAAAUCCCUAAGCUCCUAAUUAACUCUAUGGUUUGCACAUACAAGUGGUAACCCCUGAACACUCACCAAUUUGCUGAAAGCUUUUAAACAAGAUUCGCUUUUCCCUUGUCUUUGCUUGUAGAUAGUUCUAUCAAGUUCGCAAUUCCACAACAAAGACAAGUUACUAACAGGCAAAACACAUUAAGACUUAUACAUAAACACAAGUGAACCUAGGUUCGGACAUAUUAGUCUUUUGGCGAACCUAGUUUCCUUUGCUGCGACCUUUUCUUAAUUAUUUCUAAAUAUUAACACAACAGAGAAACAUAGUCUUACCUUAAAUCCUAAGAGCUAAGUUCUAAGUUCUUGUUUUUGUGGAAACUUGACAACAAGAUAAUCGAUAAAGGAAUUUGAGAGAGUUUUGUCAUUCAAAAGAAUAUGAAUUUUUCAAUGAAAAGAGCUUAAUUUACAGACACUAGGUGUUUUGAUGUUCUUAGGAUGCCCUAGUCGUAGUAGAAGUAGAAAAGAGUUACAUGCAUGAGUGGUGUUGUGAAGGGGAAAAUAAGUCAACUUUCUAAUUUUGGCGUAACUGCCCUUUGGCUACUCCUAAUUUUAAUCAUCGAUCCAAUCCAUUGAUCAUAGCUCACCUGAUUCACUGGCAUCCACAACUCGCUAGUCCCACUGGUGACCCCAACUCGCCUGGCUCAAACUUCAAGUGUCACAUCCCGAAAACCAGGUUAGGAGAAUCGGGUAAGUAAAUCAGGGGUUAGUGAAUCAAAAACCUUAAUUAUAUUAUAUAAAUAAAAAAUUAGGAGUUAAUUAAAUAAAAUAUUAGAAUAAUUGGAAUUUAUAAUUUUAGGUUAGGAAAUUAAAAUUAGGUGUCUGGGAAUUAAUUUGAUGAAGAAGGAUUUAAAAAAACAAAGAGGUUUGAUUUAAAAAUAAUUUUGAAAUUGGUUUUAAUUGAAAAGUAAGGACCUAUUUGAAAAAGGGAAGAAACUGGAGGUGGUUAAAUGGGCAAUGGCCCAAUUUUUAAAAAUGGGUUGCCUAUUUAACAACCCCACGUCUCCUUCCCUCGCAUUCUUCAUCUUCUUCAAAAAUUUUCCAACCACCAAAUCAAAGCUUUUUUCCCCAAUUUAGGUCAUCCUUUUUUAUGCUUAAGCUCUCUAAACAUAAAACCUCAUUUCAAUUUUGAAGAGUACUCAUGUUUUCAACCUCAAUUUCUCUAAAGUUCUUUACACGUUCAAAGCUCGAAUCAGCUCCAUAGCUCAUCAAUUUUGCAAAAUUGAGGUGAGAUUCUAACUUUUUAUGAUUAAACUAAGUGGGUUGUUAUUUAUAUUUAAGAUUUAAAUGAUUUAAUCAAUAUUUCAAUAUAUCAAUUUAUUUUUAGUUGAUUUUUGGAUUAAAAAUGGUAGAUAUCGUAUUUCUUGGCUAAGCUUUGGCUUUAAAGUGAUUUCUAGCUCAUUUUGAUAUAAUUAAAAGGUAUUUUAUCUUAAUUUAAAAAAUCCUUAAUGAAUUUAAGCAAAUUGAAUGUAAGCUUAUUUUUUGAAAAAAAUUAGAUCAGUAAAAUUGGAUGAAAUUGAUGGUUUGGAUAUGUAAUUAGAUGAUAUUUAGGAAUAUUAGAAUCAAAAUUAAGGCUUAGAGAUCAAGUUUGAGUGGUAAAACACCUAUUUCGGUAAAACCAGUUAAACUUUCGGUAUGAGAAAAGUGAGCUUCGAAUGGUGAUUUUGCUACUGGUUUUUUUAGUUUAAGGCUGAUAAUUAUGAUUUUAUAUUGUAUUUAAUGUGUAUGCAAUGUUUCAGAUUCAUCGAGAGAUUUCACGAGCAAUGUGAAAGGGUAAUAAAAGUUUGUUUGACAUUGUUUUGCAAGAUGUAUUGACUAAGGUGAGUGGUUUGGUAUACUACAUUGAAACUCUAGUACACAGGCUAAGGUAGCAUAUGCAAAUCCUCUGCUUAAUUAAUAUGUGAACCUUGACUUCUUCAUUAUGCAAAUCCUUAUAAUUUUGGUUAAAUUGUUGAGUAUAUAUACUAUGUGAUUUUAAUGGUGCAAAAUGCAUGAACUUAUAAUAUAUAUACAUUGACUUUAUUUUGUAUACAAUAUAUAUUAGGUGUUAUAUAUAUAAUAUCAACGAGGGAGCUGGUAAUAUAUAUAUAUAUGCGUGAGAUUGGAGUCAUAUAUAAUAUAUAUGAGUGCUUUGGUGCUAAGUAAUAUAUAUGCAUCUUAUAUAUAUUAUAUAUAUGUGUUGGUUGUAAUAUAAAUAUAUACACGUGGGUGGUUAUACAUAUAUUAUAUAUGUGCAUGACUUUAUCUUAUAUAAUAUAUAUGCAUGUCUUUAUUUUACCUAAUAUAUAUUAAUGGAUUUUGGUAUUAUAAUAUAAUAUAAUAUAAUAUAAUAUAAUAUAAUAUAUACGCAUGGUUCAAUAUAUAUAAUUACGAGAAUGGUUUUUAUAAUAUAUAAAUUUAUGAGUGUAUGUUUAAAAUUUGAAGUGGCAAAGGUCAUUAAAUAAAUAUGUAUAUAUAUAAUAUAUAUUCCUAUAUGAUUUUGUAAUAUGUAUGAACGGAUAUAUGAAUAAAUAAUAUAAUGUGGACUCUUAUAAUAUGCAAAUUUUAUCAAUAAUGUAUAUCUAUGCAUGCACAAAUCCGUAAGUGAAUUAUGAUAUUUAUGAUAUUGCGAGCCAAUUAUAUUUGUGUAUUGUGUUAUAUUGUGAACCAUGUUAACCUGACGAAUUAUAUUAUUAUAACGAACUGUGUUAAUUUGGUAAUCUGUAUUAAUAUGGCAAACUGCAUUAAUUUGUCAAAAUGUGUAUUGGGAGAUUUUGAGCUACAUUGCAUGCAAGCUAAGGUAUUGUGUGCCCUAUGCUAAAUAAAAUAUGCGAAAAAUGAUUUAUGUGUGCUAAAUCAUGAGUGAUAUGUGAACUGUGUUAUAUGUGCAAUAUAUGUUGCAUAAAAGUGACAUUAUUUGCGAACCAUGGUCUAUUGCGAAUUGUGACUUGCACACUAUGUUAUAAUGUGCGAGCUCUACUUAACUGCGAGCCCUAUUAUACUGAAUAUUUUGAAUAUGUUAAAGAGAUAUUUUGAAAUUGUGACCUUAUGGAACCAUUGUAUAUAGUUGGCAUGCUAUAGGAUUGUGAGCACUCACCCUUUUUUAUUGCGAUGGACAUUGUGGCUUGGAGAUGUGUGGGAGAGAUAAAGGAAUGUCGAGCAUGGCUCCAUUCACUUUAGAUAGCGUGGUGUGAUUGGAGAGUGUGAGCAUACGUGCUACACUUACAUGGAGUUAGCUUACAACUUUAUGAGUCAUGUGGUGUGUUUCGGACAUCCGUUUAUCCAAUGUGUGGUGAUAAAGUCCACUUAUAGGUGGUGACAAAGUCCCCUAUAAGUUUCAUAAUCAAAAAAAUGCAAAAUUUAUCAGUAUUUUAGAUAUAUGAGUUAUGAUGGAGCAUGAACUUUUAUUUCGCAUGAAGUGUUAUUCGAUAUGAACUGAUAUUUCAUAUGAACUAUUAUUUUGCAUGAGUUGUCGUUUGGUAAGAACUGUUAUUUCAUAUGAACAGAUGUUUGGUGCGAAUUGAUAGUUUAUGUGAUUUCUCCAUUUUGUGCGAAUUACUUAUUAUUUGUGCACUGCUUAUUGUAUGAGAAUUGUUGUGUUGUGUAAGUUACUAUUUUGUGUAAACUGCAAUAAUAUGUGAACUGUUAUUGUUUGUCACCUUUUAACCUAAUUGAUGUGUUUAUUUGUAGUAUGUUUGAGCACUCAUUGAGCUUUCAUAAGCUCACCCACUCUUUUAUAAUAUUGCAGUAACUUACCUUGUGAAGAGGUGUGGGAGUGAGUCAUCCAAGUGAUUCAAAUCGAGGCUAUAUCUAGGAACAUCAUUAUGUUCCCAAGCCUAAUGAGGAAGGCAAUGUGGGACUAAGUUAUGGGAUUUAGUAUUAGACUUAUAAUUUUCGGGUUGUAAUGGGACACUGUGAACUAUUUAAUUGUUUGGUUUAAAACUUUUAUCAUUGCGUUAGAUAGAUGAUUGAAUGAUGGAUUAUGAUUGUUUGAUAAUUUGUUUGAAUAAUUCUUAGACUAACUUGUAAGUGCAGGUUGAAGAGUUGUUGGUCAUCGAGGUAAGCCUUAGAUGUUUUAUGUGUGAUUUAGAUACAAACAUGUGCUUGGUAUGCAUGAGAUGUAACACAAAAUUUGGUCAAGUUAUGUAAACUGUUAAAUGUCUACUAACUAAUUAAUUUAUAAUGUUAUGAGGUUGUGCGAGAUGCUUUAAUAAAUUUUCCAAAAAUAAGACUUAUACGUUAAAUCCUACAAUCCUAUUACUAAAAUUUGUGAAAUGGAAUCUUUCCCAACAUAUUACUAUUCAUUACGUUUUAAAUCUAGUUAUAUGUUUUUAAACUAAACAGUUUUUUUCCAAGUCCCUACAAAUACAAUAUUUUAAAAAUAUUGUACUGCAUGAAUGUAUGUUUAACUAAAGUUUUCUAGGUAAUUGUCUAUUAAGUAUUAAAUUGUGAAUUAGUCUUGUUGUUGAUUGUUGAUCAGAGCAACACAACGGAAGCAUGAUAUUAGGUUUUUAUUAAAUAUUUCAUGAUUAAUUGUGUGGUGUGAUUGGUCGAUUGGUGUGCAUUGUGGUGGUUUUAAAUGGAGAGUCACUUCUGCGACUAAUGUGACAUUUGAAAUUUGGGUCGGACCGUUCCGGCUGAGUUUGGGGCACCACAUCAAAGCCCUAUUUUGAGAUGUUACAAACAUGUUUGUCAAAGCAGCUACGAAAGAAAUAUAUCUCACUUGGCAUUGCAAAAUGUAAAUCAAAAGAUCCACUUGUCAUUGCCACUUGUCAAGACAUUUGUUGCAAACAAAAAAAAAAUUAUAGGAGUAAAAUUUAAAUUUCAAAAGACUACAUGAACCUUUUCAUGUUUAAAUGAAAAGCAAAUAACCUAAUCAUUAAUUCAUACUUCCACUUUUUUGCUUUUGUUUCUUGAUCAUCAAAAAUCAUGAUUGUUUAAACCAGAUUAGAUCGACUUAUUAGACUAGGAAUCGACUAGCACAUCGAUCCAAAAAUCGAUUAUUAGACCGCCAACUACGAACUAGAUAAACUGAUAAAGAUCGAUCCAACCGAUUGUUAUGGUUUUGAGACCAAAUUUCAUCUAUCCCAAAUCGAACAAAAAGAAAACCAACUAGCCACCUACCCCUAAAAAAUUUAACACCCAGCCUUAAAAUCAAUAUAAUUUUUUUAAAAAAGAACCCCUAAUCUAACUAUUGUAUUACUAAAACCUAUUAUAAGCACGGUGUGAAAUAGAUUAACUGAACAGCUAGAAGCUUUCUACGUACUUUUUAGAGUGGUUUAAAAUAAAUAAGAAAAAUAAAAAGAAGAUGAUGAGAGAAAACACAAUAUUCUUUAUAGUUUUAGAUUUUGGAAAAAUAAGUAAGUAAUAAAGCUCUUGACUUCAUCAUUGGUAAAAAAAAAAGUCAAUAAAUUUUGGAAUGACAAAAAGUGUAAAGUAUGAUAUUGAGUCAAAGGGUCAACGUACCUUACUAGUGAUAUCCAUAAGCAUUAUAAGCUUUGUGCUCCUUACUUGAGGUUGCUCGGGCAGGCGCCUAGAUCUAAUAGUUUUGAGCAUAGGCUUUGCUAUGCAAAUUCAAGGCUUCAAAAUUCCUUCUUCAUUUUGUGCUAACUACUUGAGUUGAAGAGGAAGCCAGUAGAAACUUCAAAAAUACAAGAGAUGGAAAGGGUGCUUUGUGGAAGACCAUUUGUGCUUUGUUUAAGGCCUAUCCUAUCAUGUGUAUGGGCAAUUAGCCUUUGUUGGGCUUGGUUGUUUGGGUCUGAGUUUGAUUUGAGUUUAUUUCUUUAGGUAUGAGAUUGUAGCAUAUUGGAUAUUAAUAAAUUUAUUAAAAAAACCAUGAGGAGAGGAAUUUUCCCUCCAUUUUUAAAAUUUUUCUUUUACAAUUUUCAAACAGUAUUUUAUGCUGGUGUUAAGGUUGAUGUUGAGAUUUUUUUUUUUUUUGUUAAUAUUUUCCAUUUUUGACCAUCCACUACAGAAAGCCACCCACCAAGCCCAGGCAAGUACCGACCGUGGCUUUUGGUCCAAGAUUAGAUAGACGAUAUGGCGAAGGGGGCAGGAGAUUAAAUUGAAAUUUCCAUUUAUUUUUUUCUUUCUAAUUUUUUUAAUAUUUUUGACUUAUAUAUAUUUAUAUAUUUUUAUUUUUUAGCGAUAAAUCCCAAACUAUACGUGAACUAUGGUUUAAUGUGCAAUUGUAUAAAUUGUCAGAUAAUUACAUCAUCAUUAUCACCCAUAAAAAGAGCAAAUUAAUUUUUUCUGUUAAAAAUUUCAUCCAUUUAUACGGUUAAAAACUGGUGGUUGACAGAAUAACUGUAUAGUGACAUAUGAUGUGCCAUGUGUACCUUAUGUUGAUGUACGUCGACUAAUUUUUAACUAUAGAAAUAGAUUAAAUUUUUAAUAGAAGGACCAGUUUGCUAUUUGAUCUAACAUACAAAGACCAAUUUUGCUUUUUUUUUUAAGUAGAGAAGAUAACAUGUAAUCUAAGUCCUAAUACAAUAAAUUUCAUGAUAAUUUUACCCGACUAUCAUACGUGAGAGUAGUGAAUCUAUAGCAUAUAUUUAAAAAAAAAAAUCCCCUAUAGGGUGAAUGCUUGAAACAUGUUAACUUAAACUAUAAGUUUUUUUAAAGAUUUUAGUUUAUAAAUUUUAAUGCAAUUAUGAGUUUAUAAGAAUAUUUUAUAUUUAUUUUUAAGUUUGUUUUUUUUAAAUGAGUAUAUGGUUUAUUUGUAUAAUUUUGAGAUUUUUUUUAGUUUUCUUUAAAUGAGUAUAUUUUUUAGUCUUUUUAGUUUUUUUAAAGCUUAUCACAUACGCUUUGUUAACGAUAGCAGAAUACUGUUGUAUGCGGCUUAUUGGGCUUAUUAUUUUGAAAACUGAACCGUUUUCUUGAAUCUUUUUCUUUAAAAUGACGCUCACUUAACCCUAAACUAUUCACUAGUUAUUUUUACUCAGAAAGUUCACGAGAUACCACCAGCAAGAAGAGGAGUUAUCGUUUAUAGGUAAAUGUCUUUGGACUUUCAACUGUUAUUUCUAUUAUCUUCUACCAUGGUUAGGGUUAAAAAUGGUUUGGGUGGUCGGGGUGGUGGCUACUCUGGUCGUGGUUGUAAUGCCCUCAACCCGACUCGAUUUGCUGGCUCCGAAUAUCACACGUUACUACACCAAUUAUUAACAAAUUUUACAAAACAAUAUAAUAUUACUCAUUUCCUUAAGUAUUCUAUUUAUUAUUUUAACUGAAUAAUUAACGUUUUAAUACAGGAGAAAUGUUUCGAAAUAACUAGUUACAAUAGAGUUGACAUGAAACAUUACAAAAUAGAAGUUUAUUAAUGACAUAUACAGAUGGUGUAGUCCUAGACUAUGCCACUUUUAUGCCACUUUUCCGUUGUAUGCAUAAUAGCCCAUACCGCCAACACCUUCGCAUACUCUUGACAUCGUCUCUCCUGGCGCAAACUCGUUCCAAACCUGAAAAUAAUAACAAACAUUGUAAGUCCAAGAGUACUUAGUGAGCUUUGUUACAGAAACACCAUGAUAGGCACUUUGCAUUCUUGUAUGAAUUAUAGCCUGCAAACCAUUCUUCUAAACGAAUAUUUUGGGUAGAUAUCACUUCAGUUUCAACAUACCCUUAUAAGCCAACUAUCAUGCUCUUAUUAUACUCAUAUCUUCCUUAUUUAAUUAACUAACGGUCCUUCCUAACAUUUCUUAAGCUUCUAAAGCACACAUAUAAUUCUCAUUAGAACAUAUCCUCGGAGUUCACUUUUAACGAUCCAUGCCUUAACACAUACACUUAACUCAAAACAGUUAUUCAUAGACAUUUUUCACGGAUGAAUACUUAUGCAGAACUGGAUACCACUAAAUUCACACUCAACCAUUGUAACACCCCUCACCCAGCAUGGCCGCCAGACCCGAGUUACAUGAGACUACAACAUUAUCGUAACUUUACCACAUACACACACAGCUUCAAGCAAGAACAAUUUUUAUUAUUUUAAGCAUUUUCAGAGGUGAUUGCGAUUAGACAAACAUUAUACAACAUUCGAAAUAGUUUAAAUACAUGCUUAGGGACCAUAUAGCAAAUUUCCAAAAAAUAAUGUAGGUAUCGAUACACAAUAGUAGGUAUCAAUAUUUUGGGAAGUCGGGUAUCGAUACUAAUAAGAAAAUCAAUAACAUUCCAGCAUUUUAUUUUUUCAACUCAAGUUUAAAUCAAAAUGUUUUAUCGAUACAUAAACAAAGGUAUCAGUAUUUUUACCUCGAGUAUCGAUACUCGUAAAAAAAGUAUCGAUACCAAAUUCAGUUACUGUUUUCCUGCACAUACAUUUGAAGAUCUAGGUAUUGAUAUUUAUGCCUCGAGUAUCGAUACCCCUAUGCAAAUCAACCAAAUCACAACCACAAUAGAGAAGUAUUCAUGCUAAAAAAAAUAUCUUCCUCACACGCAUUACCCACCACAAUCUCAUGCAUCGAAAUACCUACAAAUGAAGUCCAAAAGCGUAAAAGAAUGAAUAAAACUAUAACAGUAAACAACCAGAGUUCUAGAAGUCCAAAAUCAUAAUAAACCAACAAAACAAUAAUAAUAACUAGCAAAGAUUCUACCCACAUUGCCUUUAUUCCAAAAGUCCAUAAGAACAAUAUAAUCAACUACUCAAGUUAGUAUUGCCUAGCUUAGAUCACUUCCUUGGUUGCACCGCUCACACCAAAAACACUACUAACCUACAAGGAUUUAGUAAGGGUGUGAGCUUAAACAAGCUCAGUGAAUGUAUUAGAAUUUACCACAAGCAUGCAUUUCUGUAACACCCUAAACCGGGCUUGGUCACCAAGCCAAAAUACGGGAUGUCACACCACCGUCUCAUGUCAUAUACAAUAAGUAAAAGUUUAUUCUAAACGAAGCGUCUUCCAUUUUAGUAUUCGUAUAGGUUUUAAGUCAAUUAACUUGUUAGUUAUCAAUGUUACAUGCUAACCAUACACCAAAUAGUCUUAUAAUAAUAAUUAACCAUGCAUAAGGUCCAUGUAACAAAAUUUCUAAAACUUGUUCGUAGGUAUCGAUACUAACACUUGGGUAUCGAUAUUUUCUCUAGGUGGUAUCGAUACCACUUGGAAAAAUGAUACCAAACUUGCAUUUUGUUUCUCGACUAAAAUCCCAAAGUCUCAAAAAUUAUCGGUACUUGUCAUGAAAUUUUGAUUUUUGACCUUGAGCAUCAAUACUCAAGCAAAGGUAUCGAUACCAAAUCUCUAAUCUAACUUUCUGCAUGUUUCAAAACAUAGAGGUAUUGAUUUUUAAGCUCGACUAUCGAUACCCCUACUCUAGACCUUAAUAAUGUAGCAUACACAAUCAAAUAAUGUAACAUCCCAAAAAUCGGGGGUUAGUAGAAUCAGGUUUGUGAAUCGAGAGAGAGUGGUCAUGCCUUAACUUUUGAGAUUAUCUAUGUAUUUUUUUAGGAAAUAAAUGAGGUAUUGGUUUAUUGGAUAAGUGUUAGUGAAACCUUCCUUGAAACCCAAGUUCAAAUCCCUUCUCUCUCACCAUUUUUAUUAUUUUACAAAUUUUGCCUUAAACCCUAGUAUGUGACAUGCCUUGUUUUUAAAAUAAAUAUUGCAAAGUUAUUUCCAGAAUGAGGAAGAAGCCUAAUGUUGAAAAGAAAUAUGAGAAAGCAUGGAAAUGAAAUGAGGUCCCAAGUUCAAAUUCCUUUCCUUAUGAAAUAAUUUAAUUUUUGGUAGAAAUCCCUUGUUUUUAAUGGGUGUGCCACCCAAGCCUUGUAAACCUAGGUCUAAAUGUUAAUUUUUCAGAAAUAAUCAUCUUUAAUCCUCUUGCUCAUUGCCCUAACCGUUCAUCUCCUCCUCUCCCUCUCAUUGAUUUUUUUUCCUUUCCUCCAUUAAUGUCGUCACCUACAACUCACAUUUUAUCAUCUUUUUUUUUUCUUUUUGCAUCAAGAUUGGGCACCAUCUUCUUUAUUAUAUUGCUUCCAUUUAUCAUCCCAAAAUCUAAAAUCUUGAACCCCAAGAGCGACCCCGAAUAUUUCCAAGAAAGUGUCAUUGUCAUUUCUCUCAACUAGCUUGGAUAAGAUAUCUUUUCUCUUCAAUUUAUUGAUUAAUAUUGUCAAUUAAAAGCCAAAAUUUCCAGAUCUAGAAUUUAGGGGAUUUAAAAAUUUUUUAAUGGUAUUUUCUAAAUUUUAAUGAUAUCUCAAACCGUUUUAAAAUUUAGCCCCAAUUUUAGCCACCAUUGGUGGUGGUGCCUGGGGUUGUUUUGUUUCUUAGGUCUUGCCCAUAUUUUUCCAGCAUUAAAUUUUGUUCUUUAAUCCUCCUAAUCAGCCUUUAAUCACAUGUUUAUUAUGGAGAUAUGUUCUUGAUGAAUUAACCAAUCGGAUCCCACAAAUAUUGAAGUGUAAGUGAUAUCAAGGAUAACUAGUUUGUUAUUUCGACAUAGUUGUUGGGUAAAGGUUAUGAAUUGAUUAAAUGAAGAAAUUUAAUCAUUAAUUAGCUACUUAUUUUCCAGUAUAUUAUUGAAUUAAGUGUUGAGCCAAACGCCUCAAAUUAUUCGUAAACCGAAGAACGAUUGUACGUACGGUUCGCAUCGAUACAAUGUAAGGAAUUUAACUAGUUUGGAUUCAUAAAAUAGUUAUAAUUUCAACGAUUGGUUUGAACUCAUAAGUGGGUGUUUGGGGGAUGGUUUAAUGGUAAAUUGAUUGAAUUUAUACUGAAUUUCAGUUUAGGUUCGUUUAAGGAAUUGUUAAGGAAAAUUGGAAGAUUCGCUAGUGUACUGCGAGAAAGCGAAAAAUAAGGUGUGGGUCCUAAACUCAUAAAAUUGUUUGAAAAUGUUAAAUAUCAAAUUAUAUUUGAUAAAUUAGCUUGCUGAUUGGAUUGAAUUAACAGCCAAAUUAUUGGUUCACUAGUCAAUGCAUUGCACCUGGAGUACCGAGGGGAAUGGCAAUUUUUUCGCAUUUUUACUGGCAACUUGGCUGCAUUUUUACUGGCAGAAUUUUCCGUAUAUAGUUAUUGGUCGUUUUAACCAUAAUGGGCUUAAGCCCAUAAUGUUUUGGAGUUCGGAUGACGAGUUUUGGGGAACUCGUAGUGUGUAGCUGAUGGUAUGGGUAGGAACCUUUUUACAUUGUAUCAUGUGCACGACAUAUUCGAGUGUUAUUGAUUUAUGCUAUUUAUUGUAUUUUUUUAUAUUAAAUGGUAUCGUAAUUAAUUAUUGUUACUCGAAUGAAUGAUGACCAAUGCUCAUACACCAUUUGACAUCAAUUUGAUAAUGACUAUGUAAUGAUAUGAAAUUCCUAUGAUGGUUCUAUUUUCUUCUGUUAAAGCUAACCUAUUUCACUCUAUUCGAUAUUUAUGUUUGUUUAAAUAAUUGUUCGACUCACACUGAGCUUUUCAUAAGCUCACCCCCCAAUAUAGCCUAGUCAUUUCGAUGGCUAAUAUAGCUUAGCCAUUUCGGUGGCUAAUGUAGCCUUCUCAAUCUAGCCAUAAUGUCUAGGCUAGGUUUGGGAAUAACCCGUUUCAGUUUAGUUUCUAAACAUUAUGCAUCAAAAACAUAGAAAAAUAAUUAUCCAACAACUAAAUUCGACAGUUCAAAAAACAUUUCUGAGCUAGAAGCACCAUGCCAUCAUCGAUGUUUGUAAACCUAAGCAUAACCAUAACUCUUAAACCUUAUAAACAAAAGCAAUAACCAACAAAAUGUCUAGAAAAUAACAUGUCAAUAACCAAGACUACCACAUUUCCCUUUCCCCAAAAAGUAAUUAAAUAAAGAACACCUACAAAAUAACACAAAACUAGCUCAGAUCACCUCUUGAAAACCACACCACUCACACUGGCACACAACUAAUCUGCAAUGGGUAAAGAAGGGAGUGGGUGAGCUUAACAAACUCAAUGAAUGACUAGAAUAACCACAUCGCAAACAUAUCAUCACGCAUCCUCAAGACAACCAUAUAUAAGUUCAAUUACAAUAGUCAUAUAUCUAGUGUCGUAGAGUACCUAUCCAUGCAUUAUCUAUUGGUUCAUCUGCACAGUAUUUACAUACUCAUGCAACAUAUAUCAUGUAACACACAUAUUUAGUCAAGCAUAUAUCACAAUUCACACAAGUCACAUAUAGCGAAAAGUUGGCAAUAUAGCACAUACUCUAUUAAGCAUAAAACAUGUUCCACACAAUUACAUAUAAUAUGAUAGAUUGAUACUUGAGUUGCGAAACAUAUAAUGACCUCUAUCAUCACAUGUCGGAUACAUGAAUCUCCGAUCACACCAAAUGACUCGUAGAGUCAGACAUGUCCCAAAAGUGAAGUAUAUAACUAACACUCUCCUUAUUUCCCCUCACAUGUCUCAUUGUAUGGAUCUUAGCUCACAUCCCCUUAUCCCUCCAAAUAAUACUCACAAUUAAUAUACUUACAAGUACAACCACAAUGCUCCAUGAGCCACAAUAUCAUUAGAUCACAUAACACAUACUAAAAUAAUUCACAUAUUAAUUACUAUUUUUUUUAUAUCAAUUAUCACAACUCACUACACGUAUUCAUCACAAUUAAAAAAACAAAUGGGACAAGAAGGCUUAUUUUUGGAACUUAUGAUAAGGGUUUAGGCUACUCCUAAGCUCUCGUUUAACACUAUGAAUCGUGCCUACAAGCAGUGAUUCCAGAACACUCACCGUUCAUGUUUUCACUUGAAAAUCGCAAGCUCAAACUAGCUUUUUCUCACCUUUUGCCUUACUCGAAGAGGGUUCCAACAGUUCCAAAGCUUCAUAUAUAUAACCACACAACAUAUAUAAGCAAUUAGCAGCCAAAAUACAUAUUAAUUCAAACAAAAAUGCAGGUCCAAAACUAGCUCUUCUAAAAACCAGAAUUUUCUACUGGAUUGGCUAAAACUCAAAUAGGGUUUGUCCUAUUUUGAUUACUCUAAAUUUUUUCUCAAUUUAGUCGCUCUAAAUAAAAUAAUUGUGCAACUUAGUUACUAACUGCCUCCCAAGUACCAACACCAAAGGUGUGAAUACUGCUACUAAGGAUAGGAACUAAGGCGGUGUCCACAAGUAUAUGGGUUAGGUUGUAAUAUAGUUUACAACGAAGUAUGUAAGUAUUCGAGGAUUGUACCCUAGGAAGGAGAGACUAAACUAAUAUUAAUUUCUACGUUGAUGGGUCUAGUUAGUAAUUAAAUUAAAUUAUAUUACAAUAUAUCUUAAGGUCAUGAGAAAAUAUAUUUUAUAAAAAUAAGAUAAUUAAGAAUGGGAAUAGAGUGCAGAUUCUAUCAAUUCUAAUGAUAGAAGCCUAACUCAUUUUAGUGUUCAUAAUUUGCUUCUACUUAGGUUCUACUUAGGGCCUCUCUGUCUUCCACUAACCUAAUGAGUCGGCAAAAACUACUUAUCUCUCGAUGUCGCAGUCCAGAUUGGACAGGGGUAAGGUUUUAACGAAUAGGUAAUACUAAUUUUGGGUUCAUUCCCACCUAUAUGACUUCUUAAAGUCAUCAAGCCUAGGGUUUUAAGUUCUUCCUAUCCCCGACCAGCUGAUUUGCUAAGAAUCCCUAAUUAGAAGUUAAUGAAUCCCACUUCCACUCGUUAAUCUUCCUUACCGGAUUAGUUCCCCAUGGAUUUAACACAUACAAAGAAAUUGAUAAUAAAAGAUAAACAUUAUAAAAGAAAUCAAUAGUAGAUAUCAGAAAAAUCCUAAUAAUUUAUUAAUAGAAGCACGAACAAUAAUUCAUUGAAGAGUAUGACGAUAUACAAUCUGAUCCCCGUGAAAAACAAAAUAAAAGGAAAAACUAAACUAAUGAAAAACUUAAUUAAAAACUAAACUGAAUACAAAGCUAAAUAAAAAUUGUUCAUGAAGUGUUUGACCUAGGGUUAGUCAUCAAUCAUUGACCUAAUUCGGCUAACGUUUUGCAUUGAAGUUUGUUGUGCGGCUAAAAACACCCUUGGUUAAUUAAUUCCUCAUGUCAUGUCGGUGUCGCGACACCCUCUGGCCUAUGUCGCGACACUGAUGGUAGUUUACGAGCUAGGGCUUUAUUUUAGGACUGAGUCGCGACACCCUCUUGCUAUGUCACAAAAGCUUCCAAAAUUGAUGAACUCUAAGGAAAAGCUUGGUACUCCGAUUAGAGAACAUAUGUUUUUCCUUACGAAAUCUUUGCCUAAGUAGAGGACAAUGCGCUGGUUUAGAUCAUAACACUUAGACAGAGAUGGUGCUCAAAUAUCUAAUAUUAAUUUUUAUUAUAUUAUUAAAAAUUCCACUGUCAAGUAAUAAUUUGCUAAAGGGUAUUUUUUUUAACAAUGAUAAUGGUAUGGGCCCAUAAUGGUUACAGUAUUACAGUUUAAGUACUGGAUUUGACAAAAAAAUGUAUCUAACUAAAAAAAUUGGUAUAUUUUGAGGGUUGUGUAUUGAACUAAGCCUUUUUUAUAGUAGUGAUAUAAAUAUCUUUUUUUUGUAGAACGAUUAUUUUCCCUAGCCUAGUCCUAGGAAAGGUGAACACCUAGAUUAAUAGGUCACAAUUUUAAGUUUAGAAUAUAAUUAUAUUUAAUUGCAUUUCGUAUCAUAUACUCAUAUUGAUUUUUAUGACAUUUCAAGUUAACUUGUGACAUGAACUAAGCAAAAAGCUUUAAUAUAGUAUAAAUAUUAAAUAAUUGCAUAUUGGGACCCUCGUUUUAUUUAGAUUUUUGAUGUCUACGAAGCAUUAUCGUGGAUUUGCAUUCAGAGGUUAGAUAAUAUUGUGAUUGAGUCUGAUUGUCAAAGUGUGAUCAGUGCUUUAAAUCGUCCAAGUAUUGAUAUGUCAAUGGUCACAACAUCCAUAGCUAAUGGGGCAGUUAGAAGGAAAAAAAACCAUUUUGAUGCCAUAUUAGAAAUAUGAAAUAUGAGGAAAUUCGUUAAUCUGACUUAACAAAUACAAUCAGAUUUCCAAUACUUAUACACCAGAAAUGAAUCGCUAACAGAAUAAAAAAAACUACCCUUAACUAUUUAACGAACAAUGAACUGCUCUUAACUAAUUUACAUUACUUAGUUUCUACUGAUAGAAAGCACUUGUGACACUGUUAUCAAUGAUCGAUGUCUUGAUUAUUAAAAAAAUCAAAUCUUAAAUUAAUAAUUUAUUAAUACUAGAAAUUAAAAGAUCUAUUGAAUUUGACGAUUAAACGCUAUCAGGAGCGAAGCCAACAAUUCAUUAUCGGGGAGCCAAAAUAAAAUUUUGAAAAUUUGAGGGAUUAAAAUUAAAAAAAUUGUUAAAAGAAACUUAAAUUAAGUAAUUCAUAACUAAAAGAAAUUGAAAGUGAUAUUAUGCCGGUAAAGGGUUACCGUCUACCCUUUAAUUACACCAUAAACAUCAGUAAACUAUAAUAAUAGGAUAACCCAAAUAAUAAGUCUUAAUAAAUUGAAAUUUUGAAACCGAACCGAGACACUCCAGUUGCCACGUCUGCGUCCUAACCUGGUGGGUUAUCUUUAAGGAUGAAAAUUUAAGGGGGAGUGAGCUACAACUCUUAGUUUGAGUUAAUCAUAAGAAAAUUAGUACAAUAGUUAGUAAGAUGCAUUAGAUAAUAUCGCAUAAAAUAUUCACAAUCAGAUAACAAUUCAAAGUAUCAAUUUUUCAAAGCAACCGCCAUUAAUAUAUCGGAACUCACAAUAAUAGUUUUAAGAAUAACCAAAUUUUCAUAUUUACCCACAAUGAACAUAUAUAGACACACAUAUAUAAUAAUAGAUUUUCCAGAUUUGUAUGCACAUGAGUUUAAAAUGCCAUACAGUUUUGGUUUUUAACAAAAUAGAUCCUACCCCACCACGACAUACUAUAAUGGGAGUUCCCCAGAACUCCCUUCUCCAACACAACGGGAUAUGGAUAAACCACUAUUGGUUCGUAAAUAAUAACUUCCAUUUGACUUUGGACAUAUAGUAAGUCCCCGUAGUUGGAAUCCGCCUUUGGUUAUGGAUACACAGCAAUACCCGCAGAUGGAGUUUGCCUUUGGUUGUGGAUACACACAAAAUAGAUAAAUGUGGAUAAACUGCCAGACUUCUUCUGAUCACAUCGUCUCAUCCCAUGUAAUGCAAUGCGGCAUAUUUAAUAUAGAUCAAGUAUGAUAGCAAUUAAUGUACUAAUACAUGGCAAAUCAGUAGCAAAAUCAUGUUUUUCAUGUAUUCGGAUUAAUAGUAAUAGAGGUCAUUUAUGCAAAUAUUAACAUUUACUAUCAGUAAUUUAUACAAAUAUACAUAUACAAAUAAACACCGUAUUAAUUCGAUCAAUCAUGGUUUCUAACAUAUUUCAUAUCCUUAGGGACCUAAUUGCAUAAUUUCAAACACUAAAAGUAGUUCAGAACUUAUACAGGGAUUCAUAUGAUCAAAACAUAGAAUUCUGGGUCAAAACAGUAAAAUCUUAGUUUCAGGGGACACACAGCUAUAUUAUAGGAUCGUGUGGGAAGCCUUGGGCCGUGUGGAUGGAAUACAAAGCCGUGUGGCUAGGCCAUGCAGGUCAUUCAAAAUUAAGCUUCAGGGGUGACACGGUUGUGUGGGAGGCUGUGUAGGGGGUCCUAGGCCAUGUGAAAGUCGAACAUUCUUGGGUUUCAAGGGGGCAUGGCCGCGUGUGGACCACAAGCCCGUGUUGUUGGCCAUUUGGCCCUAUUUUAGGAUUGGUUUUGCCCCAAGUCACUUGUAAAAGAACACACACCUGUCACCGGUGUCUCGAGCGACGUCCCUCUCAAUCAAAUCUGGUGUUGGAUACCUAAAUCAAGUCCUUCAAACAACAUUAAUUAAGGAUUAACAAAUGUUAUCAAAAUCUAUCAAGAUUAUCGUGAAUUUCGACAAGAAAUCAUUAAAAAGAUUGAUAAUGGAUGAAAAAUUAGUUUCAAGAUAAUGAUAUUACGAAUCUUUGAAGUUCAAUUUAUAGAUAAGGCGAUUACCAAUCCUUAGCAAGAUUAGAGACGAAAUUGAUGACGUUACGCUAAACUAAUAGAAAAAUUAGGUUGAUCGAAGAUUUUUUUUAGGUUCAGGAUGGAAAAUAAUAUUUCACAACAAUGGAGAAAAAUAUUCACAAAUGGAAGAAUGGAAAAGAAAAAGGGAGAAAGAAAUAGAGAGAAAAAUAAAUAAAUUUUGGUUUAGUUUGGAAAAGGAACAAGAAUACAAAUGUUAUUAGGAAAAGAUAAAUACCCAGAGUUUUCAAAAUUUAAGGGAUUGUUUGGGUAAUUAACCCUUCUUGUCGAAAUUAAAUAGGGGAAAGAAGAUGGGGAGGUGUUUGGCAUGACUUGAACCUUGAAAACAAGGGAAGGAAUGCAAAGGCUUAACCAUUUGGCUACUGCUCACUCUUGAAAUGUAUUUGCUCCAUUAAAUAUAUAUUCUAGGGGACUUUUAUUCUACUUUGCUGAAAAAUUAAAACAAAGAAAUUGGAGAAAGGUGGAUUGAACCUAAAAUCUCUAGGGAGUAUACUAAGCUAUUAACCAUUAAGAGUAAGACUCAUUUCUUAGUUAAUUAUUACUUCUAAACCUAUAUAUUUUAGGGUGUUACAGUUCUUCCCUACUUAAAGAAAUUUCAUCCUCGAAAUUUAUCGAAUAAAUGAGGAUACUGUUGGUGGAACGUGACUUUUGGUUCCCAUGUAGCCUCCUCUAUCCUAUGGUUCCGUGACAAUACUUUCACAAGAGAAAUUUAUUUCCUUUUCAAAACCUUUACAUCUCAAUGCAGAAUUUGAAUUGGUUCUUCCUCAAAGGACAAAUCCGAUCUCAAUUCGAUCUCCUUAAUUGGAAUAUUAUGGAUAGGAUUAGAUCGGUACCGUCUCAACAUAGAGACAUGGAAAACGUCAUGGAUCCGAUCCAGUUCGGGAGGUAAUUCUAAUUGAUAAGCAGGUGGGUCGAUUCUCUUAAGAAUUCGAUAGGGUUCUAUGAAUUUCGGACUUAACUUACCCUUUCGAUCCAACAUGAACACCCUCUUGAUUUUAAGGCUUGUGUCGCAACAUUGAUGAUAGUUUAUGAGCUAGGGCUUGAUUUUAGGGCUAUGUCGUGACACUCUCUUGCUAUGUCGCAAAAGUUUACAAAAUUGAUGAACUCUAGGGAAAAGCUUGGUACUCCAAUUAAAGAACAUAUGCUUUUGCUUAUCAAAUCUUUGCAUAAGUGGAGGACAAUGGGCUGAUUUAGAUCAUAACACCUAGACAGAGAUGGUGCUCAAAUAUCUAAUAUUAUUUUUUUAUAUUAUUAAAAAUUUCACAUGUCAACUACUAAUUUGCUAAAGGGUAUUUUUUUUAGCAGAGAUAAUGGUAUGGGCCCAUAAUGGUUACAAUAUUAUAAUUUAAGUACUUGAUUUGACAAAAAAAAUGAAUCCAACUCAAAUGGUAUAGUUUGAGGGUUGUGUAUUGAACUAAGCCUUUUUUAUAGUAGUGAUAUAAAUAUCUUCUUUUUUUUUUUGUAAAACGAUUAUUUUCCCUAGCCUAGUCCUAGGAAAGGUGAACACCUAGAUCAAUAGGCCACGAUUUCAAGUUCAGUGAUAUAAGUAUCUUUAAUUGCAUUUGCUAUCAUAUACUCAUUUCGAUGUUUAUGACAUUUCAAGUUAACUUGUGACAUGAACUAAGCAAAAAAACUUUAAUAUAGUAUAAAUAUUAAAUAAUUGCAUAUUGGGACCCUCAUUUUAUUUAGAUAUUUGAUGUCUAUGAAGCGUUAUCUUGGCUUUGCGUUUAGAGGUUAGAUAAUAUUGUUAUUGAAUCUGAUUGUCAAAGUGUGAUCAAUGCUUAAAAUCUUCCAAGUAUUGAUGUGUUUGAAUUCGAUACUCUUGUUAAAGACUUCGUUCUUCUCCAUUCCUUUUUCUCUGAUUUGUCUUUCUAAUAGAUGAGAAGGGAGACUAAUAAGGUGGCUCAUAAAUUAACUAGGGUGACUUUUAUUUUAUGCUUCUUUUCAUGUUUUUGAAAUACCUAUGAAUGUUCUUUCACCUGAUCCCAAAAGAGUUGUAAACUCCAACGCUUCUGAGGAUGAGAUGCAUAGGAUUAGAUGUACGAGAUAAGCCUGUUAGACAUGGGUUUAGCUUGUCUUUUUAUUCUUUUUUUUAAUUAAUAUAAAGUGUGCUUUUACCCUAAAAUAUUAAAUAAUUAUAUAUAAAUGAUUAUAGUUAAUAAAUUUAAAAUCUAGAUAUUAAUAUUUACCAUUUUUACAUAAACUCGGACUUUUAUUUUAUUUGAAUUUUAAUAUAUAUACUAAUAAUAAAACUAUUGUAUUGAUGUUUCAAAUUUGAUGUACACCUACUCAAUUUAAUGUCGAAAAAUCAUAUUUAUAAAAUUAUAUUACUAAAUGCAAAUAGGAAAAAAGAUAGUUGAAUAAAGUUUUAGUUGUUCCUUUUUAAAUUAGACAAAACUUCUUAAGAAAUCAAACCUCUAAAAGGAUUUUUUUUUUUAACUCUUCAUAAUAUAUAUUUUUGAAAACAAUUUCUUCAAUUAAAGUGAAACAAGUUUUUUCCUUUUUGUUUUUGGUCAAAGCAUGUUUGAAGUAGAAAUCAAAACUCUUAUUUCAUACUUACAUGACUCUUUGAUCUAUUUGUUUGUAUUUUCUAGACAGGCUUUAACUACUUUUCUACAUAUAUUUUACUCAUAGUGAUCUUACGCGGCUGUUUUCAUUUUAAUGCAACAGCUCAUCAUUUUCACUAAAAAAAAUAUUUAUCAAAUAUUAUCACGUAUAUUAUUAUUUAUUUAUUGGAUAUUCUUUCCUUCUAAUCAAGGUUGACGUAAAAGAAAAGAUUGAAUACCCAAAAUCAGUAACUAAAAAGGGAAUGAGCUAAAAUAUUGUCACAUAUAUUAUUUAUUCAUUCAUUUACUUCUUUCUAUUAUAACUUAAUAUAGUAUCAAUUUUGAGUCUUGAUAUUUAGGGUCGAGUUUUAUCAUAUGUAAUUGCGAUGUAUGAGUCUUCAUCCCACGUAGUUCGUGUGCCAUGUGUGGGGUGAAGUCAUAUUCUUUUCGAUUUAGUCCAAUUGUUUCUGAUUCUUUAUCCGUUAUGCGUGUCUCAUGUGUGUCAUAUAAUAUUGUUUUUGAUCGAGCAUAUAUUUAUAUUUAUAUUUUACUUGUGAUAUUGUAUUUAGUAAGUUUGUGAGAUUAACAAUUUAAAAAAAAUUAUAUUUACCCAUUUUCUAACAUCAUAUAUAACACAUCAAUCACCAUCCAAAUCUUAAAUAACUACUCUUUGCUCUUGAUAUGGCUUGGGGCUCCCAAUUUUGCCAUUCACUUUUUCUAAGAUUUUAACUUUUUUUUAAAAUAAUUAUUGAUGACUUUUUUUUGACACAACGUUUAGAACUAUUUAUAAUCUCUUCAAUCCAUAAGUAGGAAGAUAAUGCACUUCAGCGCACUGGAACCCACGUCCUUCUUUAUUGGCAACAAUAUCCAUGCCAAUGAGUCAAUUGACAUAUUUUUAAUAUUAUAUUUUAGUGUAAUUAAAACGAGAUUGCUUAUUAAUAUUUAUGAAAAGGGAUUUUUUUUUCAAUGUUUCUUUUAUGAUUAAAAUUGUGAGAGAAUAUUGUUUAAAGAGAAAUAAAAAAAUCAAUGAGGUAGUCAUGAACUUGAGGAGCGAAAAUGGCGUGGAGAUAGGUUGGCUUGCCUCAAUAGCUAUCUGCUUGCGCAUGUAUCGUAUUAUUGAAUAUAUAUCUAAUCUAUAUGGUGGCGGUCAGGUUUUCAAAGUUUGGGACUUCUAGACAUGAAAUAUGUUGGGAAGGUUUUACUAUGGGUUGAGAAAAAAAUUAUAUUAAGACCAAAAUUUCUAACAUUAUAAUAAUAUUACAAUUUUUAACAGUUUUUAAUUAAAAAUGUUGAUAUAAACCUUUUCUUUUUGAAGCGCACAACAAGUUGCAUGAGUUUGACCAUAAGCUAUAUAGCUUUCGGUUUGUAUGUAUUCUGAUUUUUGUUUAUCAUUUUGCAUCACAGCAGAUCCAUGCCGUCAGGACUGGUGCCGUAGUGUCCUUUGUACUGAUAGUUUAGCUUGGAGCCACAUAUCGACAGUCCACUUUCCAUAUGGCAUCACAUAGAGAUUUAAUUAAUUUUUUGCAGCAGUUGAUGAAAUCAACCACUUAUUCUUUUAGUCAUUAAAUUUUAGUGCAUAAAUUGAUGAAGAGCCCGGCUCCCAAAUGGCACCUUGUCCAAUCAAACAGGCGUAUCAUAGCCUAUAAAUAGCAUAUUGAGCCGUAUGCUAAUUCACUUCAAAACAAAAAGAUCUUAAAAACAAACAAGACGUCAGCUAAGAUGAAUAUGGGCAAUGGUAAUGGGGAGGAUGCUAUUGAGGCACUCCAAGCACAAGCUCACAUUUGGAGACAUGCUUUCAACUUCGUAAGCUUCAUGUCUCUAAAAUGUGCACUUGAUUUAGGCAUCCUUGAUAUCAUUCAUGAUCAUGGCAAGCCCAUGACUAUUACCCAGCUGGUUGCUGCGCUACAGAUGCUCAACCCUACUAAAGCAUGCGACAUUUAUAGGCUCAUGCGCAUUCUAGUUCACUCGGACUUCUUUGCACGCCAAAAGCUAGACAAUGAUGCUCAAGAAGAAGGAUAUGUUCUUACCAACUCUUCUCGUAUUUUGCUCAAGAAUAAUCCCUUCUGCAUAACGCCUACUUUGAAGGCUACAAUGGAUCCUAUUAUAACAAAGCCUUGGAGUUUUCUAGGGACCUGGUUCCAAAAUGAUGAUCAUACUCCAUUUGCUACUGCAUAUGGGAAGACAUUGUGGGACUAUUUUACCCAUGAUCCUCAGCUAAAAGAUUUGAUAAAUGAUGGCUUAGCUAGUGAUUCUCAAUUGGUUACUAGUGUUCUAGUUGACAA
rnacentral:lncRNA from 1 species